CGCUCAGGGUGCUCCAGCGACGACGAUGAGGAGUAGAGCGACUCCUUUAUGUUUUGUUUGUUUGGGAGCGUAAAGCGGAAAAAGACAGCAAGAAAGAUUUAUGAGAAAAUAUGUGUUGAGGAAAAUAAAUAUCAGAUUCCAAGAUCAUCGGUUCAAACGACUGUACUUAAAGUAGAUUUUAUGAUUGAACCAACUUCAGAAAGAAUGCCCAACCUGUCACCCUCUGAUGAAAGGAAAGAUGAUCAGGAACAACUCAGAAAGCAUGAAGGCCCAAGCUGGAAACUGCUGAAACAACAGCAUCACCGUCAACAGUGAGGCCAGUCUUCUAUCACCAUGGACUAAGAAAGUGCAAACAAAGAAAGGAGUCCCUGUACCAAGAUCAACAUUUUAAACUGGACUUAAAUUUGGAGCUGUUCCUCUGCCAGUAAUACUAGAGCAACUCUAUGUCAAAUCUAUGGCUUGACGGUUAAAACUUGAACUCAGUUGGACUUUCCAACAGAACAAUGAUCCCAACCGCACAUCAGACCUGACUAAUGGAUGAAUCAGACUGAAGUCGUGUUUCUGGAAUGGAUUCGACCUCAAACCCAAAGAAAACUUGUGGACUGUCCUUAAAAAAGCUGUAUUAAAGUCAGGAAAUUAACCA